AGCCUUCAGCAAACCUAAAACAAGUAUUGAAGGUGAUGCCUGCCCGGUGACUCACGUUAAACGGCCGCGGUAUCCUAACCGUGCAAAGGUAGCGCAAUCAAUUGUCCCAUAAAUCGAGACUAGUAUGAAUGGCUAAACGAGGUCUUAACUGUCUCUUACAGGCAAUCGGUGAAAUUGAUCUCCCUGUACAAAAGCAGGGAUAAACCCAUAAGACGAGAAGACCCUGUGGAACUUUAAAACCAGCAACCACCUUAAAACACAUACUCACCUACUGGGUUCACUGUCACAUAAGCCGCUGGUCUGCGUUUUUCGGUUGGGGCGACCUUGGAGCAAAGCAAAACCUCCAAAAAUUAGACCAUACCUCUAGACUGAGAGCAACCCCUCAACGUGCUAAUAGCACCCAGACCCAAUAUAAUUGAUCAAUGGACCAAGCUACCCCAGGGAUAACAGCGCAAUCUCCUCCGAGAGUCCGUAUCGACGGGGAGGUUUACGACCUCGAUGUUGGAUCAGGACAUCCUAGUGGUGCAGCCGCUACUAAGGGUUCGUUUGUUCAACGAUUAACAGUCCU
rnacentral:rRNA from 1 species